AGGAAACCCUGAACUUUGUGGGCUUCCACUUCCAAAUAAAUGUCCAGGAGAAGAAAUAGUUGUGGAACCUCCAGUUCUUGUUCAAGAAGAUGAUGACAAGUUUAUUACCACUGGAUUUUACAUUAGUAUGGGGCUAGGUUUCACCCUUGGAUUUUGGACAGUUUUUGGCACUAUGAUUUUUAACAAACCAUCUAGACAUGCCUAUUUCGAGUUCUUGGACCGGAUAAAGAAUUGGUUUUAUGUUACAAGUGCACUGAGUAUGGCUAGACUGCAAAGGAGGCUUCAGAGGUAAACGGUCUAUGUUGCAAGCAAUCUUCAGCUCAUUGGUCUCAAGAUCUAUCUAUAUGGAAGUUAGGCCACGCCUAAGAGACACACGAGCAGCGAGUUUAGAGCAUACGGAGCUAUCAACACCAACUGUUACUAGGCCCUCUAUGUAUUUGUUGAAAUGAUGAAAUAACUUCAUAAAUAUUUAUUUUCAUGUGUAAUUGUAUUGUGGAUUGUGUGUUUGGAUGGAUUGCAAUAUGUUUUUUGCUAUGAAA